rnacentral:rRNA from 1 species
CUCGUAGGCGGUUUGUUGCGUCGACUGUGAAAACCUGGGGCUUAACUCUGGGCUUGCAGUCGAUACGGGCAGACUUGAGUUCGGUAGGGGAGACUGGAAUUCCUGGUGUAGCGGUGAAAUGCGCAGAUAUCAGGAGGAACACCGGUGGCGAAGGCGGGUCUCUGGGCCGAUACUGACGCUGAGGAGCGAAAGCGUGGGAGCGAACA